GUGCAGGAUAAGUUACAAUACAGCUUGUGUGGUGCUGUUUUGUCAUUUCCCCUGCAAACAGAAAUAGAAGUCUGACUCAUAGUUCAACCUACCUUCAACCUGAGCAAAAGUAUAAUGAGCCAGAAUAACUGGGUGAUUAUACCU
rnacentral:snoRNA from 12 species